CUAUGGGGGUCCGACUAAGCCAUGCGAGUCAUGGGGCGCCUUGCGCGCACCGGCGGACGGCUCAGUAACACGUCGGUAACCUACCCUCGGGAGGGGGAUAACCCCGGGAAACUGGGGCUAAUCCCCCAUAGGCCUGAGGUACUGGAAGGUCCUCAGGCCGAAAGGGGCUUCUGCCCGCCCGAGGAUGGGCCGGCGGCCGAUUAGGUAGUUGGUGGGGUAACGGCCCACCAAGCCGAAGAUCGGUACGGGCCAUGAGAGUGGGAGCCCGGAGAUGGACACUGAGACACGGGUCCAGGCCCUACGGGGCGCAGCAGGCGCGAAACCUCCGCAAUGCGGGAAACCGCGACGGGGGGACCCCCAGUGCCGUGGCAUCGCCACGGCUUUUCCGGAGUGUAAAAAGCUCCGGGAAUAAGGGCUGGGCAAGGCCGGUGGCAGCCGCCGCGGUAAUACCGGCGGCCCGAGUGGUGGCCGCUAUUAUUGGGCCUAAAGCGUCCGUAGCCGGGCCCGUAAGUCCCUGGCGAAAUCUCACGGCUCAACCGUGGGGCUUGCUGGGGAUACUGCGGGCCUUGGGACCGGGAGAGGCCGGGGGUACCCCUGGGGUAGGGGUGAAAUCCUAUAAUCCCAGGGGGACCGCCAGUGGCGAAGGCGCCCGGCUGGAACGGGUCCGACGGUGAGGGACGAAGGCCAGGGGAGCGAACCGGAUUAGAUACCCGGGUAGUCCUGGCUGUAAAGGAUGCGGGCUAGGUGUCGGGCGAGCUUCGAGCUCGCCCGGUGCCGAAGGGAAGCCGUUAAGCCCGCCGCCUGGGGAGUACGGCCGCAAGGCUGAAACUUAAAGGAAUUGGCGG
rnacentral:rRNA from 1 species